UUUCCGCAGGUGAACCUGCGGAAGGAUCAUUCAUAAUAAGUGUUCUACUGCACUUUUUAAAAUAGUACUCACCUUGUGUGCAAUGUUGUGUGGAAUUCCUACUUUCGAGUGAGAAUUUCACACCUACACCAACCUAUAAACUUGAAAUACUUUGUCUGAAAAACUAUUAUGAAUACUUAAUUCAAAAUACAACUUUCAACAACGGAUCUCUUGGCUCUC
rnacentral:misc_RNA from 1 species